AAGAGCAAAGAAAGAACAGAAUAGUUUCUCUGAUCACUAGGGUUAGUGGGAUCCUGUUAAAAACCAGCAUCCAGACUGUCAAUAUUUGGAUCAAGAGCAUCUCUUAGCAUUCCUUUAGCCCUCAUAACACCUUUGUGAGGCAGGAAAUCAGAACAUGCGGGUCCUAGCUGGAUUCUGCAGCAACAUUGCCUGAUGCUUUAGUGCAGUGGGAGUAAAAGUUCAGUGCUCGAUUUGUAAAGGUGACAGACUGAAGAUAUUUCUAAGGAAAGCCACUCAGCUGCUAAAAGAUUUGGCAAGACAGUGAGAAUUCUGAACCCUUCAACAACAAUAGCAAGUCCUCAGCAUCUCUCGCAGCUACCCUCAAUAUUUGCAAAUGAAAGGUUAUUUGCAAAAAUUAGAGGUCUAAUUUUUUUGAAGUAAUUUAUGGAGAACAGGACCACAUACCACUCAGAGGCUUUUCAGUCAUACACAGAAAUGGACUCAAAAUGGACCAUGGUGUUACAACUUGCAGAGGACUUCCCAGCAACCUGUUCCCAGAGAGCUGAG